AGCUCAAAUUUGAAAUCUGGCUUCGGCCCGAGUUGUAAUUUGCAGAGGAUGUUUCUGGCGCGGUGCCUUCCGAGUUCCCUGGAACGGGACGCCACAGAGGGUGAGAGCCCCGUAUGGUUGGACACCAAGCCUGUGUGAAACUCCUUCGACGAGUCGAGUAGUUUGGGAAUGCUGCUCAAAAUGGGAGGUAAAUCUCUUCUAAAGCUAAAUACUGGCCAGAGACCGAUAGCGCACAAGUAGAGUGAUCGAAAGAUGAAAAGCACCUUGAAAAGGGGGUUAAACAGUACGUGAAAUUGUUGAAAGGGAAGCGCUCAUGACCAGACUUGUGCCGGGCGGUUCAUCCAGGGUUCUCCCUGGUGCACUCCGCCCGGUUCAGGCCAGCAUCGGUUUUUGCUGGGGGAUAAGAACGGCAGGAACGUGGCCCUCCUUCGGGUGGGUGUUAUAGCCUGCCGUACGAUACCCUGGCGGAGACCGAGGUUCGCGCUCCGCAAGGAUGCUGGCGUAAUGGUCAUCAGCGACCCGUCUUGAAACACGGACCAAGGAGUCGUCCAUUAGAGCGAGCGUUUGGGUGUCAAACCCGCACGCGUAAUGAAAGUGAAAUUAGGUGAGAGCUUCGGCGCAUCAUCGACCGAUCCUGAUGUUUUCGGAUGGAUUUGAGUAAGAGUUUUAACGGACGGACCCGAAAGACAGUGAACUAUGCUUGUAUAGGGUGAAGCCAGAGGAAACUCUGGUGGAGGCUCGCAGCGGUUCUGACGUGCAAAUCGAUCGUCAAAUAUGAGCAUGGGGGCGAAAGACUAAUCGAACUGUCUAGUAGCUGGUUACCGCCGAAGUUUCCCUCAGGAUAGCAGUGUUGACCUUCAGUUUUAUGAGGUAAAGCGAAUGAUUAGGGACUCGGGGGCGCUUUUUAGCCUUCAUCCAUUCUCAAACUUUAAAUAUGUAAGAAGCCCUUGUUACUUAAUUGAACGUGGGCAUUCGAAUGUACCAACACUAGUGGGCCAUUUUUGGUAAGCAGAACUGGCGAUGCGGGAUGAACCGAACGCGGGGUUAAGGCGCCAGAGUGUACGCUCAUCAGACACCACAAAAGGCGUUAGUACAUCUUGACAGCAGGACGGUGGCCAUGGAAGUCGGAAUCCGCUA
rnacentral:rRNA from 1 species